AUGGUGCAUGGCACUGCUGCAGUGGCCCUUUAUCUUGAUCCCCUUUUUUUUUGAGACGGAGUUUCGCUCUGUCGCCCAGGCUGGAGUGCAGUGGCGCGAUCUUGGCUCACUGCAAGCUCCGCCUCCAGGGUUCAUGCCAUUCUCCUGCCUCAGGCCUCCACCUCUCAGGUUCAAGCGAUUCUCCCGCCUCCGCCUCUGCCUCCUGGGUUCAAGCAAACCUCCGUCUCCUGGAUCCAAGUGAUUCUCCUGCCUCAGCCUCCCAAGUAGCUGGGACUACAGGUGUGCGCAACCACGCCCAGCUAAUUUUUGUAUUUUUAGUAGAGAUGGGGUUUCACCAUGUUGGCCAGGCUGGUCUCGAACUCCUGACCUCAGGUGAUCUGCGCGCCUCGGCCUCCCAAAGUGCUGGGAUUACAGGCGUGAGACACCAUGCCCGGCCCUCAGUCUCUUUUAAGCAAGGAUCAGGGGAGUAA
rnacentral:lncRNA from 10 species